AUUGAACGCUGGCGGCAUGCUUUACACAUGCAAGUCGAACGGCAGCGCGGGCUUCGGCCUGGCGGCGAGUGGCGAACGGGUGAGUAAUGCAUCGGAACGUGCCCAGUAGUGGGGGAUAGCCCGGCGAAAGCCGGAUUAAUACCGCAUACGACCUGAGGGUGAAAGCGGGGGAUCGAAAGGCCUCGCGCUAUUGGAGCGGCCGAUGUCGGAUUAGCUAGUUGGUGGGGUAAAGGCUUACCAAGGCGACGAUCCGUAGCUGGUCUGAGAGGACGACCAGCCACACUGGGACUGAGACACGGCCCAGACUCCUACGGGAGGCAGCAGUGGGGAAUUUUGGACAAUGGGGGCAACCCUGAUCCAGCCAUGCCGCGUGCGGGAAGAAGGCCUUCGGGUUGUAAACCGCUUUUGUUCGGGAAGAAAUCCUCUGGGCUAAUACCCCGGGGGGAUGACGGUACCGGAAGAAUAAGCACCGGCUAACUACGU
rnacentral:rRNA from 1 species